UGUGCUGGGAUGGGGCUGACACCACAGCUGCAGGGCUGUGGCCAUGCACUGCUCUCUUGCUUAUACCUCCUGGAAGGCCACAACUCCCUCUCAGCACACCUCCUGUCCUAGCCCAGUGGCAGCCAUGCACACCAGCACGCCCUGUGUUGUGGGCCAGAAAUAGCCCUGGGGAGGCCAAGGGGAGCAGUGCUGCUCUAUCUGCCUCCCUGGGAGAUAAGAGGGGCCCUGCAGAGCUCUUCAGCAGGCCAAGACAACUUCCUCAAGUGAGGCUACUGUGGGGGCACAAGAGGCAUUUUUGGAGCCCUUAUAUAAUAUAAAAUUUGCAACACAUGAACGCAUCCCUCUGCAGCCUCCUUUAUGUGGAACAAAGGAGAAAGAGCACACACCACAAACACUAAUACAUGUGCACAUCCCAAAAUCACACAGCAAACAGGCUGAACCCCCAUAGGCCUUGGGUUUUGAGCCUUGAUGUGCCCCAGCUCCCUCAGCAUCAGCUCCCCCCAGGGCCCUGUUGGAAUGAUUGAGGGGUCAGAAGCAGGGCUUAGGGCACAGCCCGGCCCUGGGAGAGGCAGAUGCCACUGAGCUACCCAAGCAGGUAACAGGCUCAAGGCCGGAGAGGUCAAGGCACUGCUGAAGGGCCUCCGGUGUUGAAGAGCCUGGAGGGAACUGACUGUCACCAUGGGUCAGUCAGUGGUGAGCAGAGCAGAUCUCCACCAACAGCCACAUGUGAUGAGAGGGCAGUGAAGGCAAUGUUGGUACGGCAAAAAAAGACGAGGAGCAGCUUCAGAGCAGUGCAGCCAAGACCCAGGCAGCUCAGCGGUGAUGUGUGGCUCAGGAUGGCAUCCAGCUUGUCUUGCAAUGGGAAAAGCACAGCCCUAAGAAAAGUGAGCCAUUGUUGUUGCAGCCGUAGAGCAGAAGGACCAGGAAUGCCACAAGCUGAUGUGAUUUCCUGCGGCGUCACACACAGUGAGGGCAAAGGACUGGAUCCAGGGGAAAAGGCUGCAGCCCCCAGCUGUUUUACAGAGGUGCAAAAAGCCCUGGCAAACUCUUCACCUCCAGCAGCAUGGUGGCAAAAUUCACAGGGCAGAGACCAGCAACUCCCUCCCUUCCCGGAUCACACUGGGGCCCUCAGCACUCCCUGCCCCGGAGGAUCACUGCCCCCCUCUUGUCCAAAGCAGCCAAAACUGAGUGGAGAUGCAGACAGCCCUCCUUUGUUAUUCUGCGCUGCUUCCCAUUAGGUAGCAUUAAUUUGAUGAGCUUCAGCGAACCAGAGGUGCCAGAAGGAAUUUAAGGUUAAAUAUACCAAAAAGGAAAAGAAGGGAGGUCAACAUUUAAUUAGCAUCCUCUCUCUUGGGUCAGGAUCAGAGGCUCUAGCGCUCUCUUUGGAGGAGGAUUUCUGCUCUUACGUUUACAGGCAGCGACAACUGGGGGUCCUGCCAUGGUCUGGGAACUUCAGGAGCUAUUUUUAGCAGAAAAGCCAUAAGAAAUUUCAUGCGUGAGUAUAUAAGCACACUCACAGCUCUAUAGGAAAACCUCAUAACCUAAGCUAGCAGCUGAAAACGAUACUUAAUGUAAACAGGAGUGGGGCAUAUUCUUACCAGGUCCUCAGAUAUAAAACCCCCAGAAAAACAUCUUCCUAAGUAGCAUCAGCUCCUGGGGGCCAGAGCAGCACCUGAAGCAAAGCUACCACCUGCAACACCAGCUUCCUGCCAGCCCCGUGGCACAUCAGGCCUUUGUCCCCAAAUUUCUGGCCUAAACUUGGCUGAAGGAUGCUACUGAAGAAGACACAACACUGACUGCAUGAGUCUCUGCCUCAGCAGGGUGGAAGUUCCCUUGUGUCUGAGGGUUGGCAGCCACUGAUGGACAUGGAGAUCAGUACCAGACACAGAUUUCCAAGUAAAACUUUAAAGAGCAGUUGAAGAGCAUCAGAAAAGCAACAUCCUCUCAGACAGAGAGCUCUGCUUUUUAAGACCCUAUAAUAAAACCAAGCUGUCCUUCCAGAUUGGAAUCUCAUGUCACACAGGCUCAGAGAUGUAAGGCUGCCGCAGCCAACAGCAACAGCCCCCUGCGGCUCUGCUACAGCCAGAGGUAACAGAUAGCAGUUAUCUUGCAUUUUUGUACUUCUUAAUUAGUGGAGGGAAAGCUGCCAUUGAUAAGGCAUCUGGCAGGAAAAACAGCCAAGUAUUGAUCCCUUUCCUCAAGAGUAGCACUCAGCAGGUCCCUCUCUGCUCAGAGCCCUACAGACAAGCAGUGUGCUGCACUGAGCACAGGCACACCUCCAUGCAGCCCCGUUAACAAGUUUGCAACACAUGUUGCUCUGGACUUAUCCUCCCAAAAGAAGUUGGCAAGUUUGAGAAUUCUGGAGCAGAAGAAACUGACAAGUCCGCUGCUGCCCCUCCGAGAGGGCCCGACCUUGCUGCCCAAAACGGGGUAACCGCGUUCUC